GGUCCCGUAGUGUAGCGGUUAUCACGUCGCCCUGUCACGGCGAAGAUCGCGGGUUCGAUUCCCGUCGGGACCGUUU
rnacentral:tRNA from 1 species